UUCAUUAAUAUUUAUGCCUUCUUAGAGGUUAAAUGUGGACCUUGAAGAAUUUAGGUUAAUAAUUAUUCUCUUUAAGGGUUAAAAUUUACAAUAAUAACAUUUAACUCUUUAUUUUUUAACUUUCUACCAAAAACACCUUUAGAGAGAUCAAAUACAUAAUUCAGAAUAAAGCCAGUUUGCAAGCUUGAUUCUCUUUAAAAAUUGG
rnacentral:misc_RNA from 1 species